AAACGAGGCCUAAGAGUCUCUCUCCUUCAACAAUCGAAAAUAGUAGUAGAAGUUCUAUGCACAGAACCCCUUCAUCUCAGCGUCUUUGCCUGUCCAAGAGGUAUUUCUCGUUCGAGCAUACCCUGUAUCUCGCAAUGUAUGUCCAAGACCACAGAACAUUCACCACUUCACAAUGCAACAGCCCGUGAUUUUUGGUCUCCUUACCUUUAGGUUACAGAGAACAAUUAGGAGAAAUCUUCUUCCUUCGUUUGUCAACCUCAGUUUUCAAAAUAUGAUUUCAUAGUAAUUAUUGGAAAAAAAGAGAGGCCGUCCAUGUUUGAUCAUUCCCUCUCAUGACAUCACUCUGAAUCUUUUCCAAAAGUCUAUAAUAUAAUAUAUUGAUCGAUUCAAUAGCAUCGCCCGUUUCAAACGUUGACGGUUUCUCCAAAUGAAACAUCCCUUCCAUUUUUUUGCCAACGACGAUAUUUAACAGCUUAGGAAACUCCUCUUCGAAUCCAUACCACACCAGACAUUGUUUCAAAAUUCACCCAGCUACCAUCCUUCAUCUAAAACUACAGAAAUUUACCAUAUUUCUUAACCGUCUUGUCCCGGGAGAUGGGGAAUAAGUUUUAAUAACUCAGGUUUAUUACAGUGCUUAUCACAUUGAAAACUUCCUACUCUUAUCACCUUGCAUGUUGCAGAAUGUAACGGAUACUCCAAAGCAUUAUAAAUUAACUUUCCAGAAAAUGAAAUUUACAGCAAAAAAAGUCCCAAACCAAAUUUCCCCACUGUUUUCUUCAUUAUAUAAUUCAUUCAAAUUCCUCCAUCCAGUUGAAACUCCAAGCUCAUAGCCAAGUAUUUGAGGAUAAUACUGGUCAAUCUCUGUAAUCUUUAAAAUUGAACAACCCCUUUAUGGGAUAAAGUUCAGCAUUUUCAAUGACUUUCCUCAAUGCAGCAGGGCCCAUAGACAUAAGGACCUACAUUUAGAAUAUAUGGCAUAGUCAAAACAACAAUAUCAAUAAACGGUAGGGGUAAUGAAGACAACAUUAACCAGCUAGAAGAAUGUUUCUACGCAUGAAUGCAAGGUCAUAAUGAAUGGUAUUAGGAUCUAAAAACACUAAAUUCAAUACAAAAAUUUGCUCAUACAUGUCUGAAGUAUGUUGAUUAAUAUGAGAGAAUGGUUCUCAUACUCUAAUGUGUUCUAACUGUUGAAGCAUUCAAAUUUUACUUUCAAACAUGUUGGAAAUAUGAAUUGAGUCUAUAAGGACUCAAAAACUACAUCACAAAACUGCGACAAAGUAAAUGGUUCCAGAGCUUCAAAGAUUCGAAGAGACGCUUCAUACAUCAUUUUCCACCACAGUACAUCAUUUUCCACCACAGUAUCACCAACGAAAGGUAAUGUCAAUACAGAGUCUAGCGUUAAAUGUGAUUUCUAAUUUCAACAACGCAGCAAUUUAGCAGAACAUAUGAUCUUAAACCCGUUGAAAUGAAACGUGUUAAAUAUCAAAUUUUAAACAUGCUUUGCACGGUUGCAACAGAAAACAGCAGGCACAAUGGAGGCACUAGCAUAUCAGUACAUUAGAAGCAAAGAUUUCAAAAACAAUUGAAUUUAUGGUUUAUAAGUUGCAUGUAACAGAUCCUGUAAAGAAGUUAAUGAAAAAUGAGUCGAAAAUUUGGAUAUUAAACCUCG
rnacentral:lncRNA from 1 species